UUUAUAGCUUUAUAUGGACCUCCUCAAACCUUUGCUCUGUCUUGAUAUAGUUAUGGGUGUGUUCUGGUGAAGCCCAGCCCUGAGCAUCAUAAUGGUUCCAGGUGUAGUCAGCUGUCGUUCAAAGCCUCCUUCCUCAUUCCAUCUGUCUUCACUGAGGAGCCCAGCAGCUCAAUCUGUACUCAGAACCUUUAGAACCGUGUUCACGUUCUGUCUCCGUUCUGAACACUUACUUUGUGUUUUGGCGAACACCUGAAUCUCCUCCUUCAACUGAUCUUACUUUCCAUCCUUUUGUGCUUUUAUAUUUUCAUACAACACGGGACAGCACACCUUUCACCAUAGAGAAGCUAAGGUCUCCAGUCUACUAUGGAUGAGGAGAGAGAAGAGGGGUGUCCUACCUCUAAGACCACUCUGUCUGGGGAACAUGGCCGCCGAAGCAAAGCUAAGGGCCCAGAGAAGCAGGAGAGAACAGACCCCCCUGGACCCAGCUGUGUCUCCAUGAAGAGUGGCUGGUCUAUGGAUAAUCCUCUUAGUUUUAAAGAUGGAAAUCAGUCUAUUGAGAAGAGAAGAGUCCAGCAGGAGAGAGCAGACUCCCCUGGACCCAGCUGUGUCUCCAUGAAGAGU